UUCUUAACACUUCAUUUAAUUCCUACAAUUGUAUUAUUUUGAUUUGGUUACAUUAUUAUAUUAUACACUCGGCAAUAGGUACUCUUAAAGUUAUCCUUAUGUUUCAUGUAAAUUAAAUCAAGCUAAUUUUAUCACGAAUAGCAUUCAUACGAAAUAUUUUUUUUAGUUAAUUGCUGUUUUGAUUUAUUUAUUUUUAAUUUAUUGACAUUUUUUUACCUAUUACGGAGUGCGCAUUGUUUAGAGCUACGAGAGAACUAGCGAUACAUAAGAAGUAACCAUUUAACUAUGGCCACAAAAAUUCUAUAGAUCUUACUUUUUGAAAAAGAGUAUCCCGUACCUCAUCACAGAUUGCGGCAAUAACACCUAAAAAUUUGUAAAAAAAAAGUAAAUGCAUUAAAAGUUUGAGGAUUUUGUUUGGUUCUACUACAUAUACACCGAAAGAAGCGUACACAAUACACAUACCAACAGAGGCAAUUUCAAGUAACCACUCCCAUGAACAAAAUGCCAUGGCUAUCGGCAAUUUAAACUAAACGUUACUUUCGUUGCUAACUCAUCCGGAUCUUUAUACAAUCUUUUCGUCUAACCUAAAUCCUACUAAUAUGUAUUUAGAACUGGAAAUUUCGAAACAAAUAAUAGAUUUAAAGACGAUCUCAAAUGCAAAGGUUGAUAUGAUUCCUAAGGAGUUUUGUACGUUGCCUCCAAGCUGUAAAGAUGUACAGAUUCAUUUAUUACAUAAAGGCAAUACAAGUUUGACGAGUUAAGAUUGCUGCAAAGACUUACAAGUAUAUAAGCAUUUCAUGGAUUUACACUUGGAAGACAACGCGGCU